UACGGAGGGUGCAAGCGUUAAUCGGAAUUACUGGGCGUAAAGGGCGCGUAGGCGGCUUAUUAAGUCAGAUGUGAAAUCCCAGGGCUCAACCUUGGAACUGCAUCUGAUACUGGUAAGCUAGAAUCUGUGAGAGGGAAGUGGAAUUUCCGGUGUAGCGGUGAAAUGCAUAGAGAUCGGAAGGAACAUCAGUGGCGAAGGCGACUUCCUGGCACAAGAUUGACGCUGAGGUGCGAAAGCGUGGGUAGCAAACAGG
rnacentral:rRNA from 1 species